rnacentral:rRNA from 1 species
UACGGGGGGAGCAAGCGUUGUUCGGAUUUACUGGGCGUAAAGGGCGCGUAGGCGGUCAGCACAAGUCAGUUGUGAAAUCUCCGAGCUUAACUCGGAAAGGUCAACUGAUACUGUGCGACUAGAGUGCAGAAGGGGCAACUGGAAUUCUCGGUGUAGCGGUGAAAUGCGUAGAUAUCGAGAGGGACACCUGCGGCGAAGGCGGGUUGCUGGGCUGACACUGACGCUGAGGCGCGAAAGCUAGGGGAGCGAACGGG